AUAGUGCAGUUCCGCCGCCGAGAGAGGUCCGAGGAGCGCGUUCUGAAGAAGAGGUCUCAGAUCCGCGAUGCUGCGGUGCGGCGAGAGCAGCGAGGCGCCGGCGGCGGCACCAGGAACGGGCAGUGCAGCUCCUCCAGCUUCCCGCUGACCAUGCGGAAUCGCCCGUGGUUCUCGGGAAGACGGACGCCAGGAACUUCCACUCGGCCUUCAGCCCAGACACGGCCAUCUUCCCUCAUCUCCGGCGGGAGGGGAGCAGGCCAAGCCCCGUCAAGGUCAAGGCCGCGACCUCCCCGCGGGGCGCCCAGGCCCUGCUCCCGGGCUCCGCCUCUCCCCGCGGCCCUGGCCCUCUGCCUGAGCGCGGCAGGAAAAUGACUUACUAGUCUUAAAUGAACAUAAAUUUCUGCAGGUCUAACAAGCGCCAGUGUGAUGCUGGAUCUGCGAUUUCAUGGAGCCAUUCUUUGUGUAGCUGCAGAGUGGACAGUGAGAGAGAGAGAGACUGUGGCCAGCACGCUGCCACCAGCGCACCACGCUGAUCCAAAGCCAGGAGCCAGGUGCUUCUCCUGGUCUCCCAUGCGGGUGCAGGGCCCAAGCACUUGGGCCAUCCUCCACUGCACUCCCAGGCCACAGCAGAGAGCUGGACUGGAAGAGAGGCAACUGGGACAGAAUCCGGCACCACGACAGGGACUAGAACCCAGGGUGCUGGCGCCGCAGGUGGAGGAUUAGCCUAUUGAGUUGCGGCGCCGGCCCACAUCCUCAUUUUUAAGUGUACAUCAGUUUUGGUUCAUUUUAAAUUUUACUGUUGUUAUUGAAGGGUGGUGGCUCCCACACCAAUACUGCUCUAGCUGGGUCUCUAGGAUGCCCAGUUCUCCAGGAGCUUCACUUUGUACUUUGAUUUCCACUUGUCUCUCCUCUGGAAGCACUGGAAAUGAUCUCCAGGGGUGUGCCCUCAGGCUGCAGUGUGCACAGUGAGUCAGACAGCUCUGAGCGUAGUUCCAUAUUGGUUUUCCAGGCUGAUACUGGAGCUGCCCGAGCCUGAGAAAGUUGUGAUCCCCAUCCUGCUGCCUUAGCUUGGCUCUGCUCCUGCUGCAGCUCCAGGUCCUUCAGCCUCUGCACCCCCGGCCUUGAUCCUAAGAUACCUGAAAAGCUCCCGGCACCAGAUCCCUGUGUCGCAUGCUGCAUCUUGCUGUCCCCACAGUGUGCACUGGCCUUUUCCCUUGGCCCUUGCUGCUCCAGCUGAUUUUCUGCAGCAGCCCAGGGCCAGGUCUUGGUUGCUGUAACCUGUGUCCCUCUCUUUGGCCAAACAAUUCCAUCCAUCCUGGGCCUCCAGAAGCAGUUCUUGGAUCCCUGAUGACUGUUGGCUGAAAUCAGGAGCCAGAGUCUACACAGCUCAGCAUCCUGGUUCACCCCUCAAGUGGCAGCAAUGGCCAGAGCUGAGCCAAGCAGAAUCCAGGAGCCAGGAGCUUCUUCUGGUUCUCCCACAUAGAUGUAGGGGCCCAAGCACUUGAGCCACCAUCUGCUGCUUGCCCAGGCCAUAAACAGAGAGCCGUAUCAGAAGAGGAGCAGCCAGCCCAUGCACUUGCACCCAUGUGGGAUACUGGUUCUGCAAGUGGAUGCUUAGUCUGCUAUGCCACAGCACUAGCCCCCGAUGUUACCUUUAAAAUGUAUGUAUGUUUGUAGAAAGAUUUAAUCAUGCUAAUUACCAAAUUAUCUUUGGUUAUGGUAAAAUACUACUCUUUUAGCAAUUUUAGAUACACAAUGCAUUAUUAAUUGCGGCAAACAAGUGGUUUCAUAGAUUACUAUAACAUAUCCUCCUGACUAACUGAAAAUUUGUACCUUUUGGUCAACAUUUUUCCUUUCCCCAUCCUGCCCCAUACCCUAGCCUCUGGUAACCACCUUUCUACUCUCUGUUUCUGUGAGAUUUUUUUAAUUCCACAUAUACAUGAGAUAAUACAGUAUUUGUCUUUGUCUAUUCAGCUUAUUUCACAAUAUAAUGUCCUGUAAUUUCACCUAUGUUUCUGCAAAUUGUGGAAUUCUUUUCUUUAUUAAAGCUAACUAGUAUUUCAUUACAUAUAUAUACACACAUAGAUAUUUUAAUUAUUCAUCCUUUUAUUGAUACUUAAGUAACUUCUUUAUGUUGGUUGUUGUUAACAAUGCUGAAAUGAGCAGGGGAGUGGGGCUAUCCCUUUAAUAUAAUGAUUUUAGUUCUUUUGUAUAUAUAUCCAGGAACACAGUUGGUGGAUUAUUUGACAGUUUUCUGUUCUCAUUGCUUUGUUUUCCAUGAUGACUGAUGUCCUACUUUACAUUCUCAUCAACUGCACAAUCCCAUUUGUCCAUCCCUGCUUUUGGUGUCUGCAGAUUUAGAGUCCUAUCCAAGAAAGUACUGCUCAGAAGAGUAAAGCUUCCACCACGUGUUUUCUUACAGUAGAUUUAUAGUUUUGGGUAUUGCAUUUAAGUGUUUCAUCAACUUUUAGUUGACUUUUGUAUAUGACAUGGAAAAGAGACUAAUUUCAUUCUUCUAUAUUUGCAUUUACAGUUUCCCCAAAACCAUUUAUCAUGAGACUAUCUUAUCCACAUUGUGCUUCUUUGAUAUGUCUGUCAAAAAUAAGUUGACUUAAAUCCUUGGAUAUUUUCUCUGGACUUUCCAUCCUAUUCCAUUGGCCUAUGUAUCUGUUUCAUGCUGGUGUCAUACUGUUUAAUUAAAAUAGCUUUAUAAUAUAUUUUCAAGGGAGAAGUGUGAUACCUUCAGUUUUGUUCUUUGGGCUCAAGAUUACUAUGACUAUGUAGUAUAUUUUCUGGUCCCAAGGAAAUUUUAGAUUUUUUUUCUAUUUCUGAAUAAAAGAUUGUUUUUAUUUUUAUAGGAAUUGAACUGAAUGCAUAGAUUGCUUUGGGUCAUAUGCCUAUUUUAAUAAUAUUAUUCCAAUUUAUUAUGAGAGACUUUUUUAAUUUAUUUGUAUCUUCUUUAUUUCAUCAAUGUAUUAUAAUUUUAGUGUAUAAAAUAUUCACCUAUGUGGACACAUUAUUUCCUAAAACAUUAUUUCUUCAUGCUCCUAUAUAUGGGAUGAUUUUCUUAAUUUCUUUCCCAGAUAACAUAUUAUUCAUCUGUAGAAACACUAAUGAUAUUUAUAUUGAUUUUAGAACUUGAGAUUUCCUGAAUUUAUUUAUUUUCUAACAGUUUUUUAUUGGAUUCAUUAUUAUCACUGGCAAAUAGAAACAAUUUUACUUCUUCCUCUUAUACAGAUGAUAUUUUUGUUCUUGCCUAAUAAUUCUCUCUAGGAUUUUCAGCAUUACAUGGAAAAGAAAUGGUAAGCAUGGACAUAUUUGUAUUAUUUCUGAUCUUAGACAAAAGACUUUUUAAACUUUUCAUCAGUGACUUUAAUGUUAGCUCUGCUUUUAUUGUUUAUGGCUUUUAUUGUGUUGAGGUAUGUUCUUUCUGUGACAACUUUUAGAGAGUUCCCAUGAACAAAUUUGAAUUUUCACAAGUUGUUUUUCUGCAUCUGCUCAUAUAGUGACAAUUUUAUGAUUUUUAUUCUUUAUUAUGAUAAUAUUGUAUAUCACACUUAUUUUUAAAUUUUAAUUUAGAAUAUGCAAAUUUAAUGUAUUUCAUAUAUAUAGAUUUGGGAACAUAGUGAUACUUUCCAUCCUACCAUUCCUCCUGCCCAUGGUCCCACUCUUCUUCCUCCUUCCAUUCUUAUUCCAAUUAUUUUUACUAAGAUAUAUUUACAGUUAACAUUAUAGUCAUAGGAUUAAUCCAACAAUUAAGAGUUCAACAAUUAGUAUGAAAAAAAGGUUCCUCAACAGUCAAGAUAAGGGCUGUUAAGAUCAUCACAUAUCAAAAUGUCAUUUUUGUUUUUAAUUUGCAUAGGAAAGCUGCAGAAGAAGACCCAAGUGCUUGGGCCUUGAACCCAGGUAGGAGACCUGGAAGAAGCACGUGCCUCCUCGCUUCAGCCUGGCCCAAUCCCAGCCAUUGUGGCCAUUUAGGCAGUGAACCAGCAGAGAGAAGAUAUCUCUCUGUCUCUGUGUCUGUCUCUCUCCCUCUACUUAGCCUUAUAAAUAAAUAAAAUAAUUAUUUGCAAAACCUGUAUAUAUGAAAUAAAGGAAAUCUAGUCCUUUAUAUAAAGUGAUAAAAUUUAUAAAGACUCUAAUCCCGCCGGCGCCGUGGCUCACUAGGCUAAUCCUCUGCCUUGCGGCCCCAGCACACUGGGUUCUAGUCCCAGUCGGGGCACUGGAUUCUGUCCCAGUUGUCCCUCUUCCAGGCCAGCUCUCUGCUGUGGCCAGGGAGUGCAGUGGAGGAUGGCCCAGGUACUUGGGUCCUGCACCCCAUGGGAGACCAGGAUAGGUACCUGGCUCCUGCCAUCGGAUCAGCGCAGUGUGCCGGUUGCAGCGCGCCGGCCGCGGCGGCCAUUGGAGGGUGAACCAACGGCAAAAAAGGAAGACCUUUCUCUCUGUCUCUCUCUCUCACUGUCCACUCUGCCUGUCAAAAAAUAAAAAAAAGACUCUAAUCCCACUUCAGAGUGCUUGGUUUGAUUCGCAGCUGUUUCCGAUGCCAGGUUUUUGCUAAUGCAGAUGUUGGGAGGCAGUAGUGAUAGCUCAUGAUAUUGGGCUUCUGACAGGAGUACAUUCCCAGCUCUUGGAUUCAGCCCUGAUACAGCCCUGGUUACUGUGGGUAUUUGGAGGAGUAAGUCUGUGGAUAAGAGGUUUUCUCUUUUGUCUCUCCUGGCCUACCUGCCUCUCUUUAUGUCUCUUUAACUCACACACACACAUACAGACACACACAAACAUAUGUAUUUUUUUUUUUGACAGGCAGAGUGGAUAGUGAGAGAGACAGAUUGAAAAGUCUUUCUUUUCCAUUGGUUCACUCUCCAAUGGCUGCUGUGGCCAGCAUGCUGUGGCCAGCGCACCACGCUGACCCGAAGCCAGGAGCCAGGUGCUUUCUCCUGGUCUCCCAUGCGGGUGCAGGGCCCAAGGACUUGGGCCAUCCUCCACUGCACUCCCAGGCCAGAGCAGAGAGCUGGACAGAAAGAGGAGUGCCCAGGACAGAAUCUGGUGCCCCAACCAGGGCUAGAACCUGGUGUGCCGGCUCCGCAGGCAGAGGAUUAGCCUAUUGAGCUGUGGCGCCGGCCACACAUAUGUAAUUUUUAAUAUGACAAUAAUCAAGCAAAGCAACGACUAAAGAAUAUAACAUGAUAUUGACUCAUGUUUGAAUAAUUCAAUUGAAACUACUGUGAGUUGUUUGAAGUAUCAAUGAAGAAUGGAAUAUCUGCCUGAAAAUAUAACUUAGGAAAAGUCUGCAACACAAACAACCUAUAGAGACUGGCUAGAAGAAAAGUAUACAGAGCCGUCUGAGAACCUGCAGCAGAUUCUGUUCUCCAAAAAUUCCUGGUCUGAUCCAUAAAUGCAGUACAAUCUCCCAAACGCUGUUUCAGCAAUUCCUUAAAAACUUCAUUGGCUGACUUGUAUAUUAGCAGUGGGUAACUCUCACCACUGCAGAAUGUUGCAUGUUUAUUUGUAGGUUGAUAUUAACUUCUACUAUAUCAUCUAUACAACCAAUAAAGACCAUUUCAGACUUCAUAUCCCAUAGGAAUUUAGCAAAUUCUAAAUUCUGAUUUUAAUCCUAUGUAACAAAUAUGCCUUUAUUGUGGCAUCAGAAGACCUGGAGACCAAUAUACAAUCAGCUUUGAUGGCUCUAAUUUCUUAUAACCAUGAAAAUUUUACCUUAUCACAUUUAUUUGUUUCAUUUUAACUUAAAGCCCUCAUAAAUCUCCUAUAAUAUGAUAUAAAACAAAAUAAGAAAUAAUCAAUCAACUUACUGGAGAUGUAUUCAUUUCCUUUGAUCUUGGAAACAUGUAGAGGUCUCUACAACUAUACCUGGAAGAGAAGGUAAAUGCAGGGAAUCAUGAGAGAAUUGGCCUGACUUGCUCCUAGAGUCCACAGUGCUAAUGAAGAUCAUGCAAAUACAGAAUAACCGACACCUUAGCUGGAGAAACAAAAUAAAAAUCAACCUCCCUGUGGAGAAUUAGCGCUUUACAAUUGAAAACAGGCAGAAGACUUUUUGAAAGAGCACACAAAAUUAGAGUAAUUGGCAGUGAUUAAAUCUAGUUAUCCUUAGGUUAAUGGGAAUAUCAACAUAUAUGAUACCAACACGCUUUGAAAAGUAUU